rnacentral:rRNA from 1 species
AUACGUAGGUGACAAGCGUUAUCCGGAUUUACUGGGCGUAAAGGGCGUGUAGGCGGUCUUGCAAGUCAGAAGUGAAAUUCCUGAGCUCAACUCGGGCGCUGCUUCUGAAACUGCAGGACUUGAGUGCUGGAGGGGAUAGCGGAAUUCCUAGUGGAGCGGUAAAAUGCGCAGAUAUUAGGAAGAACACCGGUGGCGAAGGCGGCUAUCUGGACAGUAACUGACGCUGAGGCGCGAAAGCGUGGGGAGCAAACAGGAUUAGAUACCCUGGUAGUCCACGCCAUAAACGAUGAAUACUAGGUGUAGGGGGUAUCGACCCCCUCUGUGCCGACGUUAACACAUUAAGUAUUCCACCUGGGGAGUACGGCCGCAAGGCUGAAACUCAAAUGAAUUGACGGGG